rnacentral:sRNA from 1 species
UUUAAGAAAACUUAAAACGCUUACAAAAAUGCAUAAAGGGGAGAAUAAUAUGGGAACGAUUAUUUGUCAACAGUGUAACAAGACGAUCAGUGUGUUUGAAGGUGAGAAAGUUACAACACUUUAUGCGAAAGGGAAUU